AUUGAACGCUGGCGGCAUGCUUUACACAUGCAAGUCGAACGGUAACAGGCCGCAAGGUGCUAACGAGUGGCGAACGGGUGAGUAAUGCAUCGGAACGUGCCCAGUCGUGGGGGAUAACGCAGCGAAAGCUGUGCUAAUACCGCAUACGAUCUGUGGAUGAAAGCGGGGGACCUUCGGGCCUCGCGCGAUUGGAGCGGCCGAUGUCAGAUUAGGGAGUUGGUGGGGUAAAGGCUCACCAAGCCAACGAUCUGGAGCUGGUCUGAGAGGAUGACCAGCCACACUGGGACUGAGACACGGCCCAGACUCCUACGGGAGGCAGCAGUGGGGAAUUUUGGACAAUGGGCGCAAGCCUGAUCCAGCAAUGCCGCGUGCAGGAAGAAGGCCUUCGGGUUGUAAACUGCUUUUGUACGGAGCGAAAAGGCUCUCUCUAAUACAGGGGGCUCAUGACGGUACCGUAAGAAUAAGCACCGGCUAACUACGUGCCAGCCGCCGCGGUAA
rnacentral:rRNA from 1 species